rnacentral:lncRNA from 12 species
CUCCUCUCCCAAAUAAAAAAUCACCUGCUGCAAAAAUAUCCCUUUGCUCCAAGCUCUAUGGAGUUUGCCAUCAGCUCAUACCACAGUGAUGUCUUCCAUAGAUACUCUAUCAGAUAGGUCAUUGGAGGCAGUGAGGGAAAUAUACUCUGCUCUAAGAUCUUCCCAUCUUGUGAUUCCCACAGGUCCUCAGAGAUCUCUGGAUUCAGACAGUUUCAGAAAUGAGAUCAACCACAUAAAUGCAUUCAAUCCCAAAGGUAUAUAUGGAAAUAGAUCACAGAAGAUUUUAAAUCAGGAACUUGUUUGGCUUCAAGCAAGUUGGCACAAACCAACACCAUUGCAAGGCACAGUCAGCUCUGUGCUCAAAAAUGGUAAAUGUGCAGAAGGAGCAAUGAAUCCUACUGCUUCCUGAGGAUUGGUGGGUCUGAAAAGUUAGUUGAGCAUGGAAUAACAGCAUUUCUUGUGUCAAUGGCUCCUCCUGUCUCAGGUGAUAUAAAAAUGACAAAGGGAAAAAUAUUAUGAGCAUUUUCUAUGGCAACUGGAGAUGCUUGGCUAGAUAGCCAUCACGCUAAACAGGUAAAUAAUUAAUAGUGACUAAUAUAUAUUUGGACACAAAAUGUUACUUGAUAUUUUCACAUAAAGUUUCCAAUAGCUUUACCAACAUUAAAGCAUAUUUUUGUCAUGUAAAAUAAGAAAAAACAAUUCCUCUAAACUAACACUAGAAAAAAAAACAUUUACAUAAGGUUAAGCUCAUUCUGUUUCUUUUACAAAGAAUCUAUUUUGAAUUCAAGAGCUCACAAAUAAUGUGGGAGACCAAUUAGGGGACUACCAGGAUGGCUGCGUUAUUGAAUAUUCUAGAAAUCAUAGUCUGUUUUCCCGAGCCCUUUUUAAUAGAUCCAGAAGGGAGUAAUUGAAUAUAUGAAACCACUUGUCAGAGCUGAGACAAAAUUAAGGUCAGUCUUUCAAAAAGCCAAUAGUAGGAGAAACCAUAUCAAUAAUAAUUCAUGACUUGAUGGCUUGAUGGGAAAAAGCAUCCUCAUCUUCAGGCACUUCUACCUUUCCAAACAUUUUCCCUGCCAAAGUCCGCCAUCAAAAGUAAGAGAAUAGCGAUCUUGGAAAACACUGGUUCUGAGAUUUGAAGAAGUUUGAGCUAAUUUCUGAGAUCAUACAUUCAUAACAUCCACAGGACAUCCCCAAAUAUAAUGCACAAUAACAACUGGUAAAACAAUCCAUGACACCUAAACAGAAUCAAGCAGGACCACGGAUCCAAUAAUUUGAAAAGAGUUGUAUAAUAAAGCAUCCAGAUAGUCAGGUCUGUGGAUUCUU